rnacentral:rRNA from 1 species
AUGGAGACGCAGUCUGAGGGCGGUUUCGAUGGAGUUAAAGCGGCGGGGGCUGGCCAGGAGAAGGAGGUGGUAGAUGGGGCGGAUGUUGGAAGUGAUGAGAGGGCGAGGGUGGAAGAUCGGGAGAAGGAAGAUGAGGAGGAAUUCGGCCAUCUGGGUCCAGAUCCAAACCUGGAAGAUGCGUUCGAAGGCAUGAACCUGCAUGGGGAGGAAGAAGAAGACCUAGACCUGUCUGAAGAGGUGGAUGAUCUGAUUAGGGAUGUGCGUUGGUUGGCUCUGUUUAGGGUUCAUACGAUGAGACCGUUUAGCCAUGCGGCGUUGCUAAAUUCGAUGAGGAAUGCGUGGACAUGCGUGCAAGGGGUCACUUUCAAUAUCAAGGGUCCGAAUCUGUUCUUGGCUCAAUGCCAUUGUCUUGGCGAUUGGAAGAGGGUAAUGGAGGGUGGUCCUUGGCAGUUUCGAAGGGAUCCUGUGAUUCUUGUUGAAUAUGAUGGCUUUACCGAUGUGACGGAGUAUGCACUGGACAUGUAUCCGCUAUGG